GGCACCACCAGGCUUCUGUAACUUAUAAAAUGGCGGCGUCCACAUGUAUACGUCCUUCCCGGGAUUAGCCAGGCAGCUAGAGGAUGACUUAAUAAGGAGAGUGGAGAAACUGGCCAAUUAAUGAACAUGCCCUGUUCAAGAUGUUCAACUUGGCUGCUCCAGCUACCAUGCCUGCUGCCUGCCACCUCCACUCUGUCAUGGAACUAAGGAAGACCACUGAAGCCACCGCAGACAGCAGAACCUCAAUCAGCUUGAAAGAGAAUGGGCUCAACAAAAGAGCAAACUGUCAACAGUGAUGAUGAGGUGCAACAUUCAACUUCACAGUUCUUGGAAUCACAGACCUGGAGGAGUGGACUUCCUGGGAUGAAGAUGAGCCCACUAGUGCAUCGAAGGAGGGAAUGGGAUUGUGGCAACACAGCAGAACUCUUUGGAGCAACUGGAACCUGACUACUUCGAGGCCAUAACUCCAACUAUACAGAAAACUCAGAAAAUUGUCAUUAAGAAGAGAGAACCAUUGAAUUUUGGUGUCCCAGAUGGUAGCACAGGUUUUUCCAGUAGAUUGGCAGCUGCACAAGAUAGGCCUUUUAUUCAUCAGUCUUCAAAAUUAGGUGACUUAGAUACGUGGCAAGAAAAUACCAGUGCAUGGGAAGAGGAAGAAGACGCAGCCUGGCAAGCAGAAGAAGUCCUGAAGCAGCAGAAAAUUUCAGACGGAGAGAAGAGACAGCAGAACAACAAAGGAAGAAAACGGAGAAGGAAGCGCAACGCCCUAUAAAGAAGGAGCAAAGCAAAGUCUGUGUGAAGCUUUCCUAACAGGCUUUGUGAGUCUGGGCGCACAGCCUACACGCAAGCAUUUGCAUGCACUGGACAGUAUUCUCAGAAUACAAACACUCUGCUAGAUCUCAGUUUGUUAUUGAGCUAUCCAGGACACCAGGAUUCUCCCAUAAUACCUUGAACUAUUAGGAAUCAAGACUCAAAACACAAAAAUAAUGAGACAAUUAUUUUCUUCAAUGUGUUCCAAAUAGAAGACAAUUGUUUGCUGUAGAGAAGUUAUUUCAAGAGGAAUAUACCUGACAAGUACCUCUCAAGCUAGUGUUUCUAGAUGAACAAAGGGCUGUAAAUAAUUUUAUGGUGGAAAAGUACCCUGCUACUUACUAUGCUUUUGUUCAUUGUACAUAAUUAUAAAAUAAUUUUAAUGAUCAUUUGUUUCCAUGACCGCUUGAUGUAAAUUAGACAAACUGUAGGUAGGGCUUUAUACCCUUCUUAAUUUUGUUUUCAGGUACUGUUGACAUACAUUUUCUAUCAUUUGAACUGGCAUUGUUUGGUACAACAUUAAGGGAUAUGAUGA
rnacentral:lncRNA from 1 species